rnacentral:rRNA from 1 species
CAGUAGCCGCGGGAAUACGUAGGGCGCAAGCGUUGUCCGGAAUUAUUGGGCGUAAAGAGCUCGUAGGCGGUCUGUCGCGUCUGGUGUGAAAUCCCGAGGCUCAACCUCGGGCUUGCAUCGGGUACGGGCAGACUAGAGUGCGGUAGGGGAGACUGGAAUUCCUGGUGUAGCGGUGGAAUGCGCAGAUAUCAGGAGGAACACCGAUGGCGAAGGCAGGUCUCUGGGCCGCAACUGACGCUGAGGAGCGAAAGCAUGGGGAGCGAACAGGAUUAGAUACCCCAGUAGUCCCUGUCUCUUAUAC